GUCUGGAUGGCUUAGUGGUCAGAGCAUUUGCCCACCGAGCAAGAAAUCCGGGUUCCAAUCCCGGUCCGGUACU